rnacentral:rRNA from 1 species
UCCUUCCGGGGGCCGCCGUUGGGAAUUUUUGCCCAAGGGCGGAAGUCUGGACGAGCCACGCCCCGUGAGUGAAGAAGGUCUCUUCGGAUCUGUAAAACUCUGUUGGUAGAGAAGAACGUUGGUGAGAGUGGAAAGCUCAUCAAGUGACG